UACGGGGGGGGUAAGCGUUGUUCGGAAUUACUGGGCGUAAAGGGCUCGUAGGCGGCCAACUAAGUCGGACGUGAAAUCCCUCAGCUUAACUGGGGAACUGCGUCCGAUACUGGAUGGCUUGGAUUUGGGAGAGGGAUGCGGAAUUCCAGGUGUAGCGGUGAAAUGCGUAGAUAUCUGGAGGAACACCGGUGGCGAAGGCGGCAUCCUGGACCAAUAUUGACGCUGAGACGCGAAAGCGUGGGGAGCAAACAGG
rnacentral:rRNA from 1 species